UAAACCUCUUUCGGCAGGGACGAAGCGAUCAGUGACGGUACCUGCAGAAGAAGCCCCGGCUAACUACGUGCCAGCAGCCGCGGUAAGACGUAGGGGGCGAGCGUUGUCCGGAUUUAUUGGGCGUAAAGCGUGCGUAGGCGGCUGCGCAAGUCGGGUGUGAAACCCCGGGGCUCAACCCCGGAACUGCAUCCGAUACUGCGUGGCUAGAGGUAGGUAGGGGAGAUCGGAAUUCCUGGUGUAGCGGUGAAAUGCGCAGAUAUCAGGAGGAACACCGGUGGCGAAGGCGGAUCUCUGGGCCUUACCUGACGCUCAGGCACGAAAGCUAGGGGAGCGAACAGGAUUAGAUACCCUGGUAGUCCUAGCCGUAAACGUUGGGUGCUAGGUGUGGGCGGAUAUCGACCCCGUCCGUGCCGAAGCUAACGCAUUAGCACCCCGCCUGGGGAGUACGG
rnacentral:rRNA from 1 species